ACAGCAGUGAUGAGCCUUUAACAUGUAAGAAGAAGUUCUUAGUUGGAUCUCUUCAAUGAAAUUUGCUUGUUACGCUUGGCUUCUGAGCUUU
rfam:Glycine max cultivar Williams 82 chromosome 13, whole genome shotgun sequence.